AACGCUAGCUACAGGCUUAACACAUGCAAGUCGAGGGGAAACGAUAUUGGAAGCUUGCUUCCGAUAGGCGUCGACCGGCGCACGGGUGAGUAACGCGUAUCCAACCUGCCCAUCACUUGGGGAUAACCUUGCGAAAGUAAGACUAAUACCCAAUGACGUCUCUAGAAGACAUCUGAAGGAGAUUAAAGAUUUAUCGGUGAUGGAUGGGGAUGCGUCUGAUUAGCUUGUUGGCGGGGUAACGGCCCACCAAGGCGACGAUCAGUAGGGGUUCUGAGAGGAAGGUCCCCCACAUUGGAACUGAGACACGGUCCAAACUCCUACGGGAGGCAGCAGUGAGGAAUAUUGGUCAAUGGGCGAGAGCCUGAACCAGCCAAGUAGCGUGCAGGAUGACGGCCCUAUGGGUUGUAAACUGCUUUUAUAAGGGAAUAAAGUGAGUCUCGUGAGACUUUUUGCAUGUACCUUAUGAAUAAGGACCGGCUAAUUCCGUGCCAGCAGCCGCGGUAAUACGGAAGGUCCGGGCGUUAUCCGGAUUUAUUGGGUUUAAAGGGAGCGUAGGCCGGAGAUUAAGCGUGUUGUGAAAUGUAGAUGCUCAACAUCUGCACUGCAGCGCGAACUGGUUUCCUUGAGUACGCACAAAGUGGGCGGAAUUCGUGGUGUAGCGGUGAAAUGCUUAGAUAUCACGAAGAACUCCGAUUG
rnacentral:rRNA from 1 species